rnacentral:rRNA from 1 species
GAUGAACGCUGGCGGCGUGCCUAAUACAUGCAAGUCGAGCGAACAGACGAGGAGCUUGCUCCUCUGACGUUAGCGGCGGACGGGUGAGUAACACGUGGAUAACCUACCUAUAAGACUGGGAUAACUUCGGGAAACCGGAGCUAAUACCGGAUAAUAUAUUGAACCGCAUGGUUCAAUAGUUAAAGACGGUUUUGCUGUCACUUAUAGCUGGAUCCGCGCCGCAUUAGCUAGUUGGUAAGGUAACGGCUUACCAAGGCAACGAUGCGUAGCCGACCUGAGAGGGUGAUCGGCCACACUGGAACUGAGACACGGUCCAGACUCCUACGGGAGGCAGCAGUAGGGAAUCUUCCGCAAUGGGCGAAAGCUUGACGGAGCAACGCCGCGUGAGUGAUGAAGGUCUUCGGAUCGUAAAACUCUGUUAUUAGGGAAGAACAAAUGUGUAAGUAACUAUGCACGUCCUGACGGUACCUAAUCAGAAAGCCACGGCUAACUACGUG